AGAGUUUGAUCCUGGCUCAGGAUGAACGCUAGCGACAGGCCUAACACAUGCAAGUCGAGGGGUAACAUGAGUGCUUGCACUUGAUGACGACCGGCGCACGGGUGCGUAACGCGUAUGCAACUUACCUUGUACUGGGGAAUAGCCCGUGGAAACGCGGAUUAAUGUCCCAUAACACUACAAUUUCGCAUGGAAAAGUGGUUAAAGUUCCGACGGUACAAGAUGGGCAUGCGUGACAUUAGCUAGUUGGUGAGGUAAGGGCUCACCAAGGCGACGAUGUCUAGGGGUUCUGAGAGGAAGGUCCCCCACACUGGUACUGAGACACGGACCAGACUCCUACGGGAGGCAGCAGUGAGGAAUAUUGGUCAAUGGGCGCAAGCCUGAACCAGCCAUGUCGCGUGCAGGAAGACUGCCCUACGGGUUGUAAACUGCUUUUGUAUGGGAAGAAACGUUGGUACGUGUACCAAUUUGCCGGUACCAUACGAAUAAGGAUCGGCUAACUCCGUGCCAGCAGCCGUGGUAAUACGGAGGAUCCAAGCGUUAUCCGGAUUUAUUGGGUUUAAAGGGUGCGUAGGCGGUAGAAUAAGUCAGUGGUGAAAUCCUGCAGCUUAACUGUAGAACUGCCACUGAUACUGUUUUACUUGAGUGUAAUUGAGGUAGGCGGAAUGUGUUGUGUAGCGGUGAAAUGCAUAGAUAUAACACAGAACACCGAUUGCGAAGGCAGCUUACUAAGUUAUAACUGACGCUGAUGCACGAAAGCGUGGGUAGCGAACAGGAUUAGAUACCCUGGUAGUCCACGCCGUAAACGAUGAUUACUCGCUGUAGGCAAUACACCGUCUGUGGCUGAGCGAAAGCAUUAAGUAAUCCACCUGGGGAGUACGUUGGCAACAAUGAAACUCAAAGGAAUUGACGGGGGCCCGCACAAGCGGAGGAACAUGUGGUUUAAUUCGAUGAUACGCGAGGAACCUUACCUGGACUUAAAUGUAGAUUGACGUAUCCAGAGAUGGAUAUUUCUUCGGACAAUUUACAAGGUGCUGCAUGGUUGUCGUCAGCUCGUGCCGUGAGGUGUCGGGUUAAGUCCCAUAACGAGCGCAACCCCUGUUGUUAGUUACCAGCACAUCAUGGUGGGGACUCUAACAAGACUGCCGGUGUAAACCGCGAGGAAGGUGGGGAUGACGUCAAAUCAGCACGGCCCUUACGUCCAGGGCUACACACGUGUUACAAUGGCCGGUACAGAGGGCAGCUACUUGGUGACAAGAUGCGAAUCUCAAAAACCGGUCUCAGUUCGGAUCGAAGUCUGCAACCCGACUUCGUGAAGCUGGAUUCGCUAGUAAUCGCAUAUCAGCCAUGAUGCGGUGAAUACGUUCCCGGGCCUUGUACACAC
rnacentral:rRNA from 1 species